AAGCAGUUGGCUUUAGCCAGAAUGGAGAUACCUGAUCAUCAGAGGCUGGAGGAAAGCAGGUUCUUCAAAAAACAAACAACAACAAAAAACAACAAAACAUGAAGAAGCCAAAUCUGGAGGACAAGUUUUCCAAAUUAAACACGAAUAUUGUUGUAGAGUAAAAUGAUACUGUUUGUAAAGAGAUGUUUUUACUAGACAUCCUCUUCCUAGCCACCUAUUAAGGAAUAACUAGAAUAUAUAUUAACAGCAAGACAUCAGAAAUUAUCUUUGCACCUGAGAAAAUGUUAAGAUUCAGAAUUUGGCUGGAUGCUACUAAAGAGCUACUGAAAUAGACCCAAUGGCAGCUACAAUGCCCAACAGAAGCAGCAAUGCCUGGUGCACAUAGCAGGUUGCUAGCUGGAGUCUCCUGGGGUGAUUCACCUGUCUUGUUGGUGAGGAUAUGGACACCAUCUGGGGACUCUCAGAAAUCCCUGAAGUGAUAUAGAGUCCCACAUGGGCUUGCCUGUGGUGUUUUACAAACCAAUCACAUAGUGUUCAUAAACCAAAGUCACUUGGAGCUUCAGAAUUGUAAAAUAUUCUCCUGAAGGUUUUCAGGCCAGCUUAUACCUGUAAAAGCUUACAGAUCUACUUGAAGCCUCUCUAAGCUCCUGGACUAGUAAAUUUCCAAAAAAUCAGCUUUCAAGAUGAUUUCCCGUUGGGUCUGAUGAAGAUUGUACCCUUCACCAGACUCUACCCAGGCUCCUCUAAGCCCUCUUCUCAACUAGAUCUCAACUGUGGUCUAUAAAGACUUAACACUAACAUAGUUUCCAACAGCUCAACCCACAUCCCAAAGGUGUUCUUCACUAGCCUUAAAGUGCCGGCCUGAGAAAACUCAAGACUGCCAAAUGAAUCUGCUGUUUUUUCCAGCCAUCACCUGAAGAUAAGGCCCCUGUCUCCUAGUCUCUGCGGGAAGGUGGGAGCCUAGCUUGGAUAAGCACCAGUUGAAAAACCCACAUGGUUUCACGUGGACCAACUCCACUUUACCACUUUUGGGAAUUUUUCACUUUCCUAACUGAGCACCUACUUUCCCCUCUCCCUGAUUCCUUCUUUUAUCCUUAAAAUGCCCAGUCACUUCUGUACAAAUCAAAGUUGAAUUUGGUUCACACUGGACUAUUUUCUCCAUUGAAAUAGUUAUCACUGAUUAAAAUCUGUCCUUACCACUUUAA